AGAGUUUGAUCCUGGCUCAGGAUGAACACUGGCGGCGUGCCUAACACAUGCAAGUCGAGCGAAGCACUUAAAAUGGAUUCUUCGGAUGAAGCUUUUUGUGACUGAGCGGCGGACGGGUGAGUAACGCGUGGGCAACCUGCCUUACACAGGGGGAUAACAGUUAGAAAUGACUGCUAAUACCGCAUAAGACCGCAGUACCGCAUGGUACAGCGGCAAAAACUCCGGUGGUGUAAGAUGGGCCCGCGUCUGAUUAGGUAGUUGGUGGGGUAACGGCCCACCAAGCCGACGAUCAGUAGCUGACCUGAGAGGGUGACCGGCCACAUUGGGACUGAGACACGGCCCAGACUCCUACGGGAGGCAGCAGUGGGGAAUAUUGCACAAUGGGGGAAACCCUGAUGCAGCGACGCCGCGUGAGCGAUGAAGUAUUUCGGUAUGUAAAGCUCUAUCAGCAGGGAAGAAAAUGACGGUACCUGACUAAGAAGCCCCGGCUAACUACGUGCCAGCAGCCGCGGUAAUACGUAGGGGGCAAGCGUUAUCCGGAUUUAUUGGGCGUAAAGCGAGUGCAGGCGGUUCAAUAAGUCUGAUGUGAAAGCCUUCGGCUCAACCGGAGAAUUGCAUCAGAAACUGUUGAACUUGAGUGCAGAAGAGGAGAGUGGAACUCCAUGUGUAGCGGUGGAAUGCGUAGAUAUAUGGAAGAACACCAGUAGCGAAGGCGGCUGUCUGGUCAGCAACUGACACUGAGGCUCGAAAGCAUGGGUAGCGAACAGGAUUAGAUACCCUGGUAGUCCAUGCCGUAAACGAUGAGUGCUAGGUGUUGGAGGGUUUCCGCCCUUCAGUGCCGGAGCUAACGCAUUAAGCACUCCGCCUGGGGAGUACGACCGCAAGGUUGAAACUCAAAGGAAUUGUCGGGGGCCCGCACAAGCGGUGGAGCAUGUGGUUUAAUUCGAAGCUACGCGAAGAACCUUACCAGGUCUUGACAUCUUGCGCUAACCUUAGAGAUAAGGCGUUCCCUUCGGGGACGCAAUGACAGGUGGUGCAUGGUCGUCGUCAGCUCGUGUCGUGAGAUGUUGGGUUAAGUCCCGCAACGAGCGCAACCCUUGUUACUAGUUACCAGCAUUAAGUUGGGCACUCUAGUGAGACUGCCGGUGACAAACCGGAGGAAGGUGGGGACGACGUCAGAUCAUCAUGCCCCUUAUGACCUGGGCUACACACGUGCUACAAUGGACGGUACAACGAGUCGCAAGCUCGCGAGAGUAAGCUAAUCUCUUAAAGCCGUUCUCAGUUCGGACUGUAGGCUGCAACUCGCCUACACGAAGUCGGAAUCGCUAGUAAUCGCGGAUCAGCAUGCCGCGGUGAAUACGUUCCCGGGCCUUGCACACACCGCCCGUCA
rnacentral:rRNA from 1 species